rnacentral:rRNA from 1 species
GACGAACGCUGGCGGCGUGCUUAACACAUGCAAGUCGAACGGAAAGGCCCUGCUUUUGUGGGGUGCUCGAGUGGCGAACGGGUGAGUAACACGUGAGUAACCUGCCCUUGACUUUGGGAUAACUUCAGGAAACUGGGGCUAAUACCGGAUAGGAGCUCCUGCUGCAUGGUGGGGGCUGGAAAGUUUCGGCGGUUGGGGAUGGACUCGCGGCUUAUCAGCUUGUUGGUGGGGUAGUGGCUUACCAAGGCUUUGACGGGUAGCCGGCCUGAGAGGGUGACCGGCCACAUUGGGACUGAGAUACGACCCAGACUCCUACGGGAGGCAGCAGUGGGGAAUAUUGCACAAUGGGCGGAAGCCUGAUGCAGCAACGCCGCGUGCGGGAUGACGGCCUUCGGGUUGGAAACCGCUUUCGCCUGUGACGAAGCGUGAGUGACGGUAAUGGGUAAAGAAGCACCGGCUAACUACGUG